rnacentral:rRNA from 1 species
UACGUAGGGGGCAAGCGUUAUCCGGAUUUAUUGGGUUUAAAGGGUGCGUAGGCGGCUUGAUAAGUUAGAGGUGAAAUGUCGGGGCUCAACCCCGAAACUGCCUCUAAUACUGUUGGACUAGAGAAUAGUUGCGGUAGGCGGAAUGUAUGGUGUAGCGGUGAAAUGCUUAGAGAUCAUACAGAACACCGAUUGCGAAGGCAGCUUACCAAACUAUAUCUGACGUUGAGGCACGAAAGCGUGGGUAGCAAACAGG